UCAGAACGAACGCUGGCGGUAUGCUUAACACAUGCAAGUCGAACGGGUGUAGCAAUACAUCAGUGGCAAACGGGUGAGGAAUGUAGAGGAAUCUCCCCAGCAGUAAGGAAUAACCUUGGGAAACCAAGGCUAAUGCCAUAUAUCACCGACGCAAGUCGGGAAAGAUUUAUCGCUGUUAGAUGAGCCUCUAUCCCAUUAGCUUGUUGGUAGGGUAAAGGCCUACCAAGGCAAUGAUCCGUAGCUGGUCUGAGAGGAUGAUCAGCCACACUGGAACUGAGAUACGGUCCAGACUCCUACGGGAGGCAGCAGUGGGGAAUAUUGGACAAUGGGCGCAAGCCUGAUCCAGCAAUACCGCGUGAGUGAUGACGGCCUUCGGGUUGUAAAGCUCUUUUAAUAGGGAAGAUAAUGACGGUACCUAUAGAAAAAGCACCGGCAAACUUCGUGCCAGCAGCCGCGGUAAUACGAAGGGUGCAAGCGUUGUUCGGAAUUAUUGGGCGUAAAGAGUACGUAGGCGGCUUAGUAAGUCGGUUGUGAAAUCCCCAGGCUCAACCUGGGAACUGCGACCGAAACUGCUUCGCUAGAGUUUGGUAGGGGAUAAUGGAAUUCCUAGUGUAGGGGUGAAAUCCGUAGAUAUUAGGAGGAAUAUCGGUGGCGAAGGCGAUUAUCUGGGCCAAUACUGACGCUGAGGUACGAAAGCGUGGGGAGCAAACAGGAUUAGAUACCCUGGUAGUCCACGCAGUAAACGAUGAAUGCUAGUUGUCGGGGCUUUAAGCUUCGGUGGCGAAGUUAACACGAUAAGCAUUCCGCCUGGGGACUACGGUCGCAAGACUAAAACUCAAAGGAAUUGACGGGGACCCGCACAAGCAGUGGAUCAUGUGGUUUAAUUCGAUGUUACACGAAAAACCUUACCAGCUCUUGACAUCCCGUUGACCGGUACAGAGAUGUACUUUUGGAGCAAUCCACAACGGUGACAGGUGUUGCACGGCCGUCGUCAGCUCGUGUCGUGAGAUGUUAGGUUAAGUCCUUAAACGAGCGCAACCCUCAUCCUUAUUUGCCAGCGAGUAAUGUCGGGAAAUAUAAGGAAACUGCCAGCGAUAAGCUGGAGGAAGGCGGGGAUGAUGUCAAGUCAUCAUGGCCCUUAUGGGCUGGGCUACACACAUGAUACAAUGGUGGUUACAGCGGGAUGCGAAGCAGCAAUGUUGAGCCAAUCCUUCAAAAGCCAUCUCAGUUCAGAUUGGGGGCUGCAACUCGCCCCCAUGAAGUUGGAAUUGCUAGUAAUCGCAGAUCAGCACGCUGCGGUGAAUACGUUCUCGGGUCUUGUACACACUGCCCGUCAAGCCAUGGAAGUUGUUUCUACCCGAAUAGGCUGAGCUAACCGCAAGGAGGCAGGUCUACACGGUAGGAGGGGUGACUGGGGUU
rnacentral:rRNA from 1 species